rnacentral:lncRNA from 1 species
UGAAUGACUGCCAUAGCGCAGUGUGUAGUCUGAUUGCUUGGUUCAGGUACACCUAGCAAAUGUAUACAUUGACGAGGAGUGGCACCUGCUCUAGUGCCAUGGCUAGGACUCCCUGUUCUGCAAAGAACUGGCGAAACUGGUGUGCGGAGUUCUGGCACUCAGGAUAGGAGCAUCACAGGGGCUCUUUGGUGGUGCUUCCUGAACGACCGCAAUUUCAUUGAGAAGCCGGCAUUGAGCCUCCAUAAAUUGGAAGCUGUGGACAGUAUCAUCGACAUUGUUUCAAAUUUGUUUGUGUAAUGUUUGUAACAAUACAUGUAUUACAGUGAAA